rnacentral:rRNA from 1 species
AUGGAAGGUGACGGCGAGACCUCGGCGGCGGAGGCGGCGCUCGGACUGAGCCCUCAGACCUUCAUCAACGAGGUCCUCAACUUCGUCGACGACGUCUGCUUCCAGGCCUUCGACUACUGCCUCCAGUUACGCGUCGGAUCCCUCUCCGUAGCUUCCCCCCCUUUGCCGCCUACCGGUUUUGCUAACUUUGCCCUUUCGCUGUCAUUCUACAGGGAAGGCGCCCCCACGGCGGUCGGCGCCGCCACGGCGACCAAUAAGGCCGAGGAGCUGAAACGGGGAGUAAAUGAAAUUCACCACUUGGUAAAGGAUGUAUUGGACAAGAGAAUGAACAAUUGGGAGAUGUAUUGCCUUCGGAAAUGUUUAACUGUACCUGAAGGAUUUGUGGCACCUGAAGAUGAUAAUUCUUCUGCAAUGGUGUUGCAUAAAGAUGGGAAUUCUGAUUCGGAACUGGAUGCAGAACUUAAUUCUUUGAGAAAAAAACUGGCAGAUGCUAACAAGGAAUCUGAAGAACUUCAAAGAGAAAUUUCUUCCUUGGAAAGGCAAACUACAUACAAGAGUAACCUUAAUUCCUCUAUCGCUGAAGUACUGAAGUUGUUUGAAGACAAAUCUGUUCAGGAGAAUAUACAAGCUAUUGCGAACACAAUACCAAAAUUGCACCAGAAAAUGAAGGUUAUGAAAAGGAAAAAGGUUGAGCUUGAGGCCAUGGUGGGCCAAAAUGUUUGGAACGUCAAUUGUCUUAGAGACCAGAAGCGUUUAGCACCGGGUUCCGCUCCUAGCACUGAGGACAUGCAAGAGGUGAAUGCGGCUGUGAAUGACUCGCGGAAGGAGUAA